UACGGAGGGUGCGAGCGUUGUUCGGAAUCACUGGGCGUAAAGGGUGUGUAGGCGGACUUUUAAGUCAGCGGUGAAAUCUCCGGGCUCAACCCGGAAACUGCCAUUGAUACUAUUUGUCUUGAAUGUUGUUGAGGUGGGCGGAACGGGUCAUGUAGCGGUGAAAUGCAUAGAUAUGACCCGGAACACCGAUUGCGAAGGCAGCCCACUAAGCAACGAUUGACGCUGAGGCACGAAAGCGUGGGGAUCAAACAGG
rnacentral:rRNA from 1 species